rnacentral:ncRNA from 1 species
GGUUAAGCGAAUAAGCGUACACGGUGGAUGCCCUGGCAGUCAGAGGCGAUGAAGGACGUGCUAAUCUGCGAAAAGCGCCGGUAAGGUGAUAUGAACCGUUACAGCCGGCGAUGUCCGAAUGGGGAAACCCGGUGCACUCAGUGCAUCAUCGUAUGAUGAAUCCAUAGUCAUACGAGGCGAACCGGGGGAACUGAAACAUCUAAGUACCCCGAGGAAAAGAAAUCAACCGAGAUUCCCCCAGUAGCGGCGAGCGAACGGGGAGCAGCCCAGAGCCUGAAUCAGCGAGUGCAUUAGUGGAAGCGUCUGGAAAGUCGCGCGACACAGGGUGAAAGCCCCGUACACAAAAGUGCACCCGCUGUGAGCUCGAAGAGUAGGGCGGGACACGUGGUAUCCUGUCUGAACAUGGGGGGACCAUCCUCCAAGGCUAAAUACUCCUGACUGACCGAUAGUGAACCAGUACCGUGAGGGAAAGGCGAAAAGAACCCCGGCGAGGGGAGUGAAAAAGAACCUGAAACCGUGUACGUACAAGCAGUGGGAGCCCCACCACUAAGCCAGUGGUGAACUCCACGUCAGCAUCCUUUGCUCAGGCAACGGUUGCCGUUCGCGUUUACGCGGGCGGCCAACCGCAAAAAAAGCAGAGGGGGCUUAGUGGUGGGGUGACUGCGUACCUUUUGUAUAAUGGGUCAGCGACUUGUAUUCUGUAGCAAGGUUAACCGUAUAGGGGAGCCGUAGGGAAACCGAGUCUUAACCGGGCGCUAAGUUGCAGGGUACAGACCCGA